UGACGUCAAAGAGUGUCGGGGACGGGAGCGGAGAGACACGGAAAAGGUCAAACUAAAGGCGAGCCGGAGAGGCGGCCGGAGUGGCGGGGGGCCGGGAGCGGGGCUCGACCCGGCCGCCCCACGGCUCUCAGGGCGGUCCCCGGGCAGACGGGACGGGCCGGGCCCGGCGCAGCCCCGCUCCGCUGGCGGGAGGAGCCGGAGCCCCCAUCCCGUCACAGCUGUUGUGGAGCUAACAGACGCCAAGCUUAUCUCAAUUGAUUAGACUCUUCCUGUUGAGUCAGUGUUGGAAGCAAUGACUGGAGUGCUCCAGGGAUCUGUUUCACAACCAAGUUUGUUCACUGUAUGUCUCAGUGACCUGGAAGAAGGAAUGUGCAGUAAGGUGAUAAAAAUUUGCUCAGGAGAUGACACAAACUCUGCUCUUGUCUGAGGCAGAAAGGGGGAGGAGUGGGCAGAUGGCAGUCAGUACAAAAGAGGUAUGGUUUCAGGACAUGUUUUACCUGCCUGGUCUAUCUGUCCGUCCAGAGAGGGAACAAACAAAGAGAGCACAAACAACCCCCCCUCCCCUCAAGAUUUGGAAGUAUCUUCUUUCCUUAUUGGUCCUUUUGGUCAGGUGCCAACGAAGUUAUUUGAGCUUCUUAAGCCCUUACAGGGCAUCCUGUGUGCUGAAUCAUAUUCCUUCCAGCUCCCUCUGGUUGUCAGUGGACAACCCCAGCUUGACAUUUUUCCGCAUCUUCCAUUGACUUCCAUCAGCAACACAACAAAGUACUCCUGCCCAUACUGUCAGCUUGCUAAUGUUAGUGGACCAUCCAGAUAUCUAGAAUCAUGCAGGAAAAGGAACUACAGGUGAAUACCCAGAACUUGUGAUGCCAGAUGUGAUGCACAGUCUUUCCAUCCCUCGUGUUCCUGUGGAACCAUUCUCUCCACCCUUCCACCCACAGUUUGGCAGGAUGGAGAUCAAUAGAGGUGCCUACUUAAAAUCAAAGGACAGCAGAUACUCAGCUGGCAAAUGUCCAGUAUUUAAGCUUGAGGGAGAAAUUAAAUAUUUCUCAUAAUGGAAGUAUCCACUGGCCAUCCCUGUAUAUUCAACUUUUCAUGAUAAACCUAAGUAGAUAUUGCACUGUUUAAUUCUUAUCUUACUUUCUGUAAUGUGGUUAAUAUUUCUACCAUGUUUAUGUAGUUUCAGCUGCAGGGAAACCCUUUUCUAGGGUCAUAGUACAAUGCUUCAGUUUUCCAGCUGGAAGAACCUGAAUUUAAAAACAAAAUCUAAAUAUAAACUCAUGUGAACUGGGCAGGCCUAAACCAGCACUGAUACCCAGAUAAAUGGAUGUCUCCACUCAGAGAAACAAAAUUACAGAUACGGAAACUUAAAAAAAGACUGUAGCUAAAGCAUCACUUUGAAUUUUAGGACUUUAAACUGGAGGAUGGGAACCCUCUGCUUGAGUUGAACUAAUUUUUCAUAAGUCUGAUUCGUUAUUGUACAUUCAUUAUUAUGGUAGAUGGAUAUUUUUUGCACAGCUUUAAAACAGAUGAUCCUCAGUUAACCUUUUCCCCAUGUCAUGGAUGUGUUUUAGGCUCAGCAGUUCUCUAUCUUAAUUUCAAGUCCAUAAAUAUUGUAUUGAUGUUUCUGAGUGAGAAUUAGAAGUGAUGACAACUUGGGUUAGAUUUCACCAACCUCUUUAAGUACCUGUAGAUCUUUCCAGUUUACAAUUAAUAAAUGCUGUAGAGAGGGAGUCUAACUGUUACUGGCAGAUUGGGACUACCCAAUAUAAUUCAUUUCUUUAUUGAGAGAAAUUAAUUCCAAAACAUUUGCAAGUUAUCAUGCUGUUUACAAAGUUCUCCUGUAUCAGCAUGAUUUUUCCUCGUUUACCUUGUAAUAAACUCACUUAAUGCCCCAAUCCUGCCUUGCUGCAGUUGGAUCCAUCUGGAUGUACCCUGGGCAUGCAUAGAGCCCCCACUGACUUACUAGAAUUAAUAUCCUGGGACCUCUGAGAUGAGAUGGAUGGAGCAGAAAUGCACAAAUUGCAAAAGAGAAAAUCCAUCUUUUAAAGUGCAUCUCUUAAGGUAGAUCUCCAGCAUUGUAAGGCUUUACUGUUUUUCAGGGGGAGGACAGAUAGAGCCAUGGCUUCACCCUCUCUCAUGUGCCAGAUAACAACUGAGCUGGCAUGGAGGGGGAUUUAAUCUGAUCUACUAGAUUACUUACUCCUCUUGGCAUUCCCCUUUUCCCACCAAAGCAAGGAGUGAACCAGGGAGGGUAAGACAGCAAGUAUUUCUUCUCUGUUCUGGUCUUACUCAGGGCAGACUGUAAACUUAUGCCCUUAGCCUAUGUAAAUGUACAAAGUUGCACAGGCAAAGGGUUGGCUGGGUUGAAGCCCCUUUGAAAAUUUGGUCUCUAAGGUGUCAGAAAUCAGGGCCUGCAGCAGAACCUGUCUCAGGGCAACCUAAUGAGUGCAGCUGGCCUGCAGUAGGCUGUCUAAUUGGCUACACUGCCUGACUUGUUGGAAGAGUCAGCAGACCAGCUCUUAAGCCCAGCUGCAGUUCAGUGGCUGCUCACAGCAUUCACCCGUGGCUGUGAUAGCUUCUGCCUCACCUCACUCCAAGUAAUUCAGCUUUUACUCUUGACUCUAAUUCCUGACUUCUGAUUCCAGCUUUGGCCUCUGACUGCUAUUCCUGGCUACUGAUUCCUGCUCAACCACUUGGUGUGACUGCCCGUGCCCCGGUCUCUGACGUUAGGAACAUAGGUUUUCUGUUGGAUAACAUAAUCUUUUUUGUCUUCUAUAUCUGAUCUUUAGUUCUGCUUAGUGUCCAUUCUGAAACCUUGUUUUCAUCUAACAGCUGUUUCUCUGACAAAUUGGUAUUUGUGUUGUCUUCUGUCUUCAUUUCAGUGAUCAUAUCCUUAACUCCUAACUUCAUUGUGUUCAUAACUUCCUAUUUAUUCCUUUCCACUUGUUAUUAAAAUACCAGACUUUUGUCUCACCCUCAUCUCUCCAGAGUAGACAAUAUUAGGUUCAGUAGAUUCUUCUGGGACACUAUGCCAGGAAUGCAGGAACCUAAAUGAAUCCUUGACUGUUUACAUUCUUAUCGCUUCCAAACAGCCUAUGACUCCUGGAAUCUUUUUCUGAUUAACUAUUUCAGUAACAUUCUUGGAACCUGCUAGUGUCCCCAUGCUCAAUAAUUUGUCUCAAGUUUGAGUUGUAUCCUUUGUUUCCCAUACAAAAUUUAGUAGUGCAUAUAUGCAUUCUGUAGGCAAACCAAGGCCUCAGUCCAGCCAGUGAGCUCUGCUUGUGCUUAUUGCUGGUGUGUGUGCAUACGCACAUGCACACAGAAAAACCCAUUGCAGGAUGAGGGGCUAACAGUGAAUUAGAAGGGGAAGCUAGGGUGCAUGAACAAAUAAAAAAAAAAAUCAUGCUGCA